UUCUGGAAGCAGAUUGGGAAAAGGGAAGCGGAAAAGGAGGCCAGUGAUCCAGUCAAGCUCAGAUGAGGAUUGGGACAACGCUGCGGAACAGCCAGAGAACUCAUCACCAUCAGCAAUGGAGAAUAGACAUUCAAGUGAAACUCCCCACCAGAACAUCACUCAUCCAUUUGUUCGGCUACCACCACCCUCAACUCCUUCACAAGCAGUUCCAAGACAACUUGUACAAGCCACCAAUACCAGCAUGUUUGUACAUGUUCUCUCUGGUUUGCAGCAUACUUGAAGACGUAGGAGGUCAAACAACCUGAUCAGCCCCACCUUCAAAACAACUCCAGUAGUAUUUCAAAUCUGAUGUUAUUUGUGAAAAAAUGCACUUUUUUUCCAAGACCAAUGGAUCAGUAAAUGAGUGAGAAGCUG